AUGGCUCAGAAUAUAGUCUGUCUUGUUAUUGCACAUGAAAUAUCUCAUAGUUGGACAGGAAAUCUAGUGACCAACAAAACUUGGGACCACUUUUGGUUAAACGAAGGACAUACUGUAUACUUGGAACGCCACAUUUGUGGACGACUGUUUGGUGAAAAGUUCAGACAUUUUCACACGCUGGGAGGAUGGGGAGAACUACAGAAUUUGAUAAAGACUUUUGGAGAUACGCAUCCUUACACCAAACUUGUGGUCGAUCUGACGAAUGUGGACCCCGAUGUAGCAUAUUCUUCAGUGCCCUACGAGAAGGGCUUUGCUUUACUCUUUUACCUUGAACAACUUCUUGGGGGCCCCGAGGUUUUCCUAGGAUUCCUAAAGGCUUAUGUUGAGAAGUUUUCCUACAAGAGCAUAACCACUGAUGACUGGAAGGAUUUCCUGUAUUCCCACUUUAAAGAUAAGGUUGAUCUUCUCAAUCAAGUUGACUGGACCACCUGGCUCUACUCUCCUGGAAUGCCUCCUGUAAAACCCAAUUAUGAUAUGACGCUGACAAAUGCUUGCAUUGCCUUAAGUCAACGGUGGAUGACUGCCAAAGAAGAUGAUUUAAAUUCAUUUACCUCAGCAGACCUGAAGGAUCUCUCUUCUCAUCAGUUGAACGAAUUUUUAGCACAGAUGCUCCAGAGAGCACCUCUUCCAUUGGGGCACAUAAAGCGAAUGCAAGAGGUGUACAACUUGAAUGCCAUUAACAAUUCUGAAAUACGAUUCAGAUGGUUACGGCUCUGCAUUCAAUCGAAAUGGGAGGAAGCAAUUCCUUUGGCUCUAAAAAUGGCGACUGAGCAAGGAGAAUGAAGUUUACACGGCCCCUAUUCAAGGACCUUGCUGCCUUUGACAAAUCCCAUCAUGAAGCCGUGAGAACCUACCAGGGGCACAAAGCAAGUAUGCACCCAGUGACGGCCAUGCUGGUGGGGAAAGACUUAAAAGUGGAUUAAGGACCUACCAAAUGCUGAUUUCAGACAUUUCGCUUUUUUAAACGGAAGAUAUGUAAAAAAGUUCAGCUAAUAUUGUAACUAAAAAUGUUGUUUUCGUUCUGGCUUUUUAU